UGGGGAAUUUUGGACAAUGGGCGAAAGCCUGAUCCAGCAAUGCCGCGUGUGUGAAGAAGGCCUUCGGGUUGUAAAGCACUUUUGUCCGGAAAGAAAUCCUUGGCUCUAAUACAGUCGGGGGAUGACGGUACCGGAAGAAUAAGCACCGGCUAACUACGUGCCAGCAGCCGCGGUAAUACGUAGGGUGCAAGCGUUAAUCGGAAUUACUGGGCGUAAAGCGUGCGCAGGCGGUUUGCUAAGACCGAUGUGAAAUCCCCGGGCUCAACCUGGGGAACUGCAUUGGUGACUGGCAGGCUAGAGUAUGGCAGAGGGGGGUAGAAUUCCACGUGUAGCAGUGAAAUGCGUAGAGAUGUGGAGGAAUACCGAUGGCGAAGGCAGCCCCCUGGGCCAAUACUGACGCUCAUGCACGAAAGCGUGGGGAGCAAACAGGAUUAGAUACCCUGGUAGUCCACGCCCUAAAACGAUGUCAACUAGUUGUUGGGGAUUCAUUUCCUUAGUAACGUAGCUAACGCGUGAAGUUGACCGCCUGGGGAGUACGGUCGCAAGAUUAAAACUCAAAGGAAUUGAC
rnacentral:rRNA from 1 species